rnacentral:rRNA from 1 species
UACGUAGGGGGCGAGCGUUGUUCGGAGUUACUGGGCGUAAAGGGUGUGUAGGCGGUUGUUUAAGUUUGGUGUGAAAUCUCCCGGCUCAACCGGGAGGGUGCGCCGAAUACUGAAUGACUAGAGUGCGGGAGAGGAAAGUGGAAUUCCUGGUGUAGCGGUGAAAUGCGUAGAUAUCAGGAGGAACACCGGUGGUGUAGACGGCUUUCUGGACCGUAACUGACGCUGAGACACGAAAGCGUGGGUAGCAAACAGG